GAUGAAGAACGUAGCGAAAUGCGAUAAGUAAUGCGAAUUGCAGAAUUCCGUGAGUCAUCGAAUCUUUGAACGCACAUUGCGCCCUCUGUUAUUCCGGAGGGCAUGCCUGUCUGAGCGUCAUUGUCAACCCUCAAGCUCAGCUUGCUGUUGGGUCCCCGUCGUUGCUUUAACGGCGGACCCGAAAGGUAAUGGCAGAGUCCGUGAGACCCUAGACGCAGCGAGCUUCUAGCACGCGUCUGGACGUUUUUCGGGCUCGGUCUUAACUAGAUGAUAACUUCCGAUUGACCUCAGAUCAGGUAGGGAUACCCGCUGAACUUAAGCAUAUCAAUAAGCGGAGGA
rnacentral:misc_RNA from 1 species